rnacentral:rRNA from 1 species
UACGUAGGGCGCGAGCGUUGUCCGGAAUUAUUGGGCGUAAAGAGCUCGUAGGUGGUUUGUUGCGUCUGCCGUGAAAACCCGAGGCUUAACCUCGUGGCUUGCGGUGGAUACGGGCAGACUUGAGGUAGGUAGGGGAGAAUGGAAUUCCCGGUGUAGCGGUGAAAUGCGCAGAUAUCGGGAGGAACACCGGUGGCGAAGGCGGUUCUCUGGGCCUUACCUGACGCUGAGGAGCGAAAGCGUGGGGAGCGAACAGG